rnacentral:tRNA from 1 species
GGAGAGGUCGCAUAGUGGACUAGUGCGGUAGUCUUGAAAACUACUAAGGGGGCAACUCCUUCGCGAGUUCGAAUCUCGCCCUCUCCG